rfam:Pediococcus argentinicus strain DSM 23026 Scaffold11, whole genome shotgun sequence.
AGAUAAAAGCAGAAGCCACCGCUUCUCGCCUUGUAAUUUUGAUUGCUGGGCUAAGUCGUUGAAUGAUCAAAUAUUGAUCAAUACAAAACGGGUGGCAUUGUGCCAUCCGUUUUUCUGCUUUCUC